AAUAAGGUUAUAAAAGUGUAAGGUUGUUAAUAGAUUUAUUCGAAUAAAAGAAAUUACACAUCGAAUCUUUUAUAGUAGCGGAUACAGAGAAUAACAGAAAGUUAUUAAAGUUGUAAAUAUGAUGCGAAAUAUAGACCGUAUAUGUUUUGGGUAACAAUAUGAAACAAUUAAAUAAAAGGAUUGAUAAAGUGGAAAAAAGGCAGGACAAAUUGGCAGAAGGAAAAAUUUGGGACUACAUUUAGUAUAGUGGGCACAAAAAUUUCCACUCAAAACGUCUGAGGAUAUCAUAUUUAGUAAUAAGAAAUUUAAGGAGACAGAAAAUUGGAAACUAUUGAAUUGAUAAAAAAAUCGGGAAAUGUUUAAAUAUUGAAACCAUCUUUAGUAAGAGUAUAAUUCUGUCCCAUAUAUUUUAUGGGAAUAUUUUUACGGAAGUAUCCAUUUUUGCUGGAUGCUAUUUUUGAAGCAACUAGAAAUUGAAAAUCACUCAAUGAGUUUUCAGCAGACCUGCGGAAUGCGUUAAGACUUGUUAAAAAUAGUUUUAACUUCCGAGCAAAAGGAAAG